rnacentral:rRNA from 1 species
AUUGAACGCUGGCGGCAGGCCUAACACAUGCAAGUCGAGCGGAUGAAGGGAGCUUGCUCCUGGAUUCAGCGGCGGACGGGUGAGUAAUGCCUAGGAAUCUGCCUGGUAGUGGGGGAUAACGUCCGGAAACGGGCGCUAAUACCGCAUACGUCCUGAGGGAGAAAGUGGGGGAUCUUCGGACCUCACGCUAUCAGAUGAGCCUAGGUCGGAUUAGCUAGUUGGUGGGGUAAAGGCCUACCAAGGCGACGAUCCGUAACUGGUCUGAGAGGAUGAUCAGUCACCCUGGAACUGAGACACGGUCCAGACUCCUACGGGAGGCAGCAGUGGGGAAUAUUGGACAAUGGGCGAAAGCCUGAUCCAGCCAUGCCGCGUGUGUGAAGAAGGUCUUCGGAUUGUAAAGCACUUUUAGUUGGGAGGAAGGGCAGUAAGUUAAUACCUUGCUGUUUUGACGUUACCAACAGAAUAAGCACCGGCUAACUUCGUG